UACCUACGGGACGCAGCAGUGGGGAAUAUUGCACAAUGGGGGAAACCCUGAUGCAGCGACGCCGCGUGAGUGAAGAAGUAUUUCGGUACGUAAAGCUCUAUCAGCAGGGAAGAAAAUGACGGUACCUGACUAAGAAGCCCCGGCUAACUACGUGCCAGCAGCCGCGGUAAUACGUAGGGGGCAAGCGUUAUCCGGAUUUAUUGGGUUUAAAGGGUGCGCAGGCGGAUUUUUAAGUCAGCGGUCAAAUCGUGGGGCUCAACCCCAUCCAGCCGUUGAAACUGGGGAUCUAGAGUGUGCGAGGGGUA
rnacentral:rRNA from 1 species